AACGAACGCUGGCGGCAGGCUUAACACAUGCAAGUCGAACGCACCUUUCGGGGUGAGUGGCAGACGGGUGAGUAACGCGUGGGAAUCUACCCUUCUCUACGGGAUAGCUCCGGGAAACUGGAAUUAAUACCGUAUACGUCCUGAGGGAGAAAGAUUUAUCGGGGAAGGAUGAGCCCGCGUUGGAUUAGCUAGUUGGUGGGGUAAAAGCCUACCAAGGCGACGAUCCAUAGCUGGUCUAAGAGGAUGAUCAGCCACAUUGGGACUGAGACACGGCCCAAACUCCUACGGGAGGCAGCAGUGGGGAAUAUUGGACAAUGGGCGCAAGCCUGAUCCAGCCAUGCCGCGUGAGUGAUGAAGGCCCUAGGGUUGUAAAGCUCUUUCAGUGGGGACGAUAAUGACGGUACCCACAGAAGAAGCCCCGGCUAACUUCGUGCCAGCCGCCGCGGUAACAC
rnacentral:rRNA from 1 species